rnacentral:rRNA from 1 species
UAGGGAAUCUUCGGCAAUGGACGGAAGUCUGACCGAGCAACGCCGCGUGAGUGAAGAAGGUUUUCGGAUCGUAAAGCUCUGUUGUAAGAGAAGAACGAGUGCGAGAGUGGAAAGUUCACACUGUGACGGUAUCUUACCAGAAAGGGACGGCUAACUACGUGCCAGCAGCCGCGGUAAUACGUAGGUCCCGAGCGUUGUCCGGAUUUAUUGGGCGUAAAGCGAGCGCAGGCGGUUAGAUAAGUCUGAAGUUAAAGGCUGUGGCUUAACCAUAGUAGGCUUUGGAAACUGUUUAACUUGAGUGCAAGAGGGGAGAGUGGAAUUCCAUGUGUAGCGGUGAAAUGCGUAGAUAUAUGGAGGAACACCGGUGGCGAAAGCGGCUCUCUGGCUUGUAACUGACGCUGAGGCUCGAAAGCGUGGGGAGCAAACAGGAUUAGAUACCCUGGUAGUCCACGCCGUAAACGAUGAGUGCUAGGUGUUAGACCCUUUCCGGGGUUUAGUGCCGUAGCUAACGCAUUAAGCACUCCGCCUGGGGAGUACGACCGCAAGGUUG